ensembl:lncRNA
GAGUUGGAUUCUAGGCUCUGCUGCUCAGGAGCUCUGUGUCCUUGAAUAAACUCCUGAACUCCUUCUGGGCCUAACUUAUUCAGCUGGGGGAAGGAGACAGUUCCUGCCCUCCCUAUCUCUUAGAGCAUUUCAUCUGGCUCCAAAACACAAGGUGCUUAUGAAGGAGGGGAAGGGAGAAGUACUAAUAAAUUUGCCUAAGGACUUUUGGGAUUUUCCUGGGAAGGAAGGAACCAAAAUCUCAACCCUUUCUUAGUCAUUUCAGGCUAUAGAAACCUUUAGGGUGGGCUAAGUAAUCUAUAGGAGUAUGAAAAGCCCUCUGUAAAAGCACUCAGGGUAGAAAGAGGUGUUGAACGUGAGCCGAGGUGCUGGAUGUUGCCUUAUUCCAAAAGCAAAGGGUUUGGCCUGGAGCAAAUGGCCCAGCUGGGUGAAUCUAGAAAGAUGGCCGUUGCGAGCCCAAGUCACAUUUGGCAUGUGGAGCCCUUAGCCAAGAUAACUCUGAGUAGGGAACCCUCCUUUUUAUCUGAAGGUCCAUAUUGCUCUGCUUGGUGGAAGAGGAGUGUCCGUUAAAACUGAGUGCUAUCAGUUUUCCUCUCUAAUAAGAAAUAUCUUAAAACAUUCCUUCUCUAUCUUGAAAUGAAAGUCAUAGAUGAUAGCUUCAGUUCAGUUCAGUCACUCAGUCGUGUCCGACUCUUUGCGACCCCAUGAAUCGCAGCGCACCAGGCCUCCCUGUCCAUCACCAACUCCCAGAGUUCACUCAGACUCAUGUUCAUCGAGUUCGUGAUGCCAUCCAGCCCUCUCAUCCUCUGUCGUCCCCUUCUCCUCCUUCCCCUAAUCCCUCCCAGCAUCAGAGUCCUUUCCAAUGAGUCAUGUCUUUGCAUGAGGUGGCCAAAGUACUGGAGUUUCAGCUUUAGCAUCAUUCCUUCCAAAGAAAUCCCAGGACUGAUCUCCUUCAGCAUGGACUGGUUGGAUCUCCUUGCAGUCCAAGGGACUCUGAAGGUCUUCUCCAACAGCACAGUUCAAAAGCAUUAAUUCUUUGGUGCUCAGCUUUCUUCCCAGUCCAACUCUCACAUCCAUACAUGACCACAGGAAAUACCAUAGCCUUGACUAGACAGACCUUAGUCAGCAUAUACACACUUAUAAUCUGCAAAAAAUAAUCAUCAUAAUAUCCUAAGUAUAAUAUAAAGAAAAAAUGGACACCAAUUUGUAAUAAAGCAGUAUGGCCAAACUAUACCAGAAGAUGCAAUACAAAGUCAGAUAUUAUAUGUGUGGAAUCUUUGUGAGCAAAGUGGCCAUAUACUGGUACAGGUACAGUGGGUUAAAGACUGCCAUAUUACAAGUGGCUUUGCUCUCAGUGAUAUGAUUUUCUGAAAUAGUGAUGCACAACUGGUGAUGUUCCAAACACACCCAAUAGUUUUCUGUUUACUGGACAUGAUAGCUGCAUUCCUGGAGAUUUCAGUAUAAGUUAAAACCUUGCCAAGACCUUGUGUGCUUAUACAUAAAACAGAAUCUAAGCUCUGAUAAUUAUAAACAAGGGAGAAAACUUUUAUGGUUGGUGGAGUAUUUUUGGGUGUUUGCGUCAUGUAGGUCAUAGUUCUUGAUGAGUAAGAGGUAUUACCUGCUUUGCAGGAUGUCUAGAAUCCCUGGCCCUGCCCACUAAAAGCUGGUAACAUAACUUCAGUCAUUGUGACAACCAAAAUGUGCCCUUCUAAUUUUAAGAUACCCUCUGGAAGUCAUGCCAUUCUUAUUGAGAAGCACUAGGGUAGAGGUCAAGCUUACCUUCACUGUUCUAGAGACAGUUGGAAGUGACCAGGCUUUCCAGUGAAGGCAUUGAUAGCCAAUGGAAGACUUUACUGCACUUCAUGGGACCCCAGGUCUACUAGCUUAAGCUGCCAUAACAAAAUACCCCAAACUGGGUGGCCUAAAUACCAGAAAUUUGUUUCUCAAAGUCCUAGAAGCUGGGCAGGCCAAGAUAAAGGUGCCUGCUGAUUUAGUGCCUCUCUUCCUGGCUUGCCUUCUCUGUGUCCUCACAUGGCAGGGGGAGGGCUCGUUGGGCCAUGUCAGUCUUCGCUGCAGCACACAGGCUCUCCAGUUGUGCACACAGGCUGAGUUGCUGCAUGGCAUGUGGAAUCUUAGCUCCCCUACCGGGAUUGAACCCACAUCCCUUGCAAGGUGGGUUCUUAACUACUGGACCACCAGGAAAGUCCUUCUCUUUCUCUUCUUACAAGGACCCUAGUGCCAUCGUGGCGGCUCAACCCUCAUGACCUCAUUUAAACUUGAUUAUCUGCAAAGAUCUUACCUCCUGGGCUUCAGUGUAUGAAGUUUGGGGUGAUACAAACAAGAAGUCCAUAGCACCAGGUUUCCAGCCUUUGUUUUAUAAAAUGACCAUCUUCUGUUGGAAGCUGUUAUGGUCUUCUGGGGUCAAAGGAGACACUGGAGUUCUGGUUCUAGGGGUUACCUAGGAGCAAGCAGGAUGAACAGACCCCUUGUUUAUGAGGAAACGCCUGGGAAGUUCUUAGAUCCACUGGAGUGGGCAGGUACUAGAAAGAGAAUGUAGACAUUCUGCCCUUCUGGACAACUGGAGUCCCAAUCAACUCAUGUUUAAGGGCCUGAACUCGGGAGUUAGAUCUGAGUUUUAAUCCUGUUUCAGUCAUCUGGUAACUGUGUGACCCUGGACAAAGUACUUAGCAGCCUGAGUCUCCGCAUAAAAAUGGGCAUAGACCUGUCUUGAAGGUUGGUGGUGAAGAGUAAUAAGAUCUUCUAGUAAAAAGCUUUGCAGGAUUUCAGGCACAUAGCAUCCAUUAAUCUGUAUUGCUGCUUAUGGUCAUGCAGUCAUCCUUUGAGGACUUAUUUUUAUGUGGAAAAGCAUUCAUCACAGCUGAGGUUGCAUAGAACAGGAUGAGGUAGAGCUCCAUUUCUAUAAAAAAAAGUGAUGGGAAUCUUUCUUGAAAGUAAUUUAGGGGGUAAGCAAGGCAACUCUGGUUCAUAUUGCAUGGAAUGUUUGAAAUAUGAAAGCAAGCAUCUUCCCUCUUACCCUUAAUACAUAAGGAAAUUUCUGCUUAAUGCUUCAUGCUGAAUCCCAAGGGACUACCCAGAACAUUAUGAUCAUUUAUACAAUAAUCUUUGUACUGUUGGAGGUAUGUGCAGUGGCUGCCUUGGAAUUACAGGUUUGCCAUCUCAUGUUGACUUGUCCCUAGCUAAGCAGAGUUAGAACCAAUUACUACUCUGUUUGGAAAAGGCCUAGGACAGAAAUUCACGGGAUUCUUCCUUAUCUAUACUGUUUCCCUUCAAAGUGAAUAUUAAUGUGUGCUUGUGUUGAUGCAAAACAAACAGCCAGGUCCUCUCAUGCACACACAUUUCCCUGGGACAAAUCACUGAGAAAAACUGUUGGGAUGUAUUUUAUGAAAACAUUUUGCUAGCUCAGAAAUUCUUAAAGAGAUCCAGCUUUCUUAUGGAAAACAGCCCAGGAUUCUUAGAGAAAACACUGAAGGUUGGAGAAGUGUUCUUUUCCUUUAUCAGUGUUGUUUUGCCAAAGAAGAGGCUGUGACUGUCUUCUUCACUGAAGAGUAAAAGGAAGUUUUGAUCGUAUGCUUCCAUCAGGCCACAGACACUUUUUCAAAUUCAUUUUUCUUUAUAACGUUAAGUCAAGUCCUUUUCUUAUAACUCUCUUGUUUCAUAAAGACUUUAAGACAGUUAAAAAAUGAGAAUAGGUUUUCCCUGGUGGUCCAGUGGUUAAGAGUCCACCUGCCAAUGGAGGAUACGUGGGUUUGAUCCUUGGUCUGAGAAAGAUCCCACGUGCAGCGGAGCAACUGAGCCCAUGCACAGCAGCUACUGAGCCCCUGAGCUGCGUACUGAAGCCUGUGUGCCUAGAGCCUGUCCUCUGCAGCAAGCGAAGCCACCACGAUGAGAAGCCCGUGCACUGCAGAGAAGAACAGCCUCCAGCUGCUGCAACUAGAGAAAGCCCACACACAGCAACAAAGACCCAGCAGAGCCAAAAAUAACCAAAAAAGGGAAGGAACAAAAGAGAGGGAACAAUGACGUACAUGUGAAGAAAUGACAGAUGAACAUGGAUUAAGAGCCAACCUUGAUGAUUUACACAAGGCCAAAGCGACUCAAGGAAGAGUGAGACCCCUGGAAUCUUUCAUGGAGAUAGCCGUAACAGGAACUAGAGUAUAUGCAGACUUGAAGACAGAAGAAGGAAGUUAACCAGAUCAGAAUCAUUCAUUCAAGGAUCAGAGUCAAAUAACCAGCUACAGGCCCAAGAUACAGAAGGUUAGAAGUGAUGUUUCCAAGAUUUUCAACGUUUUGAGCCACUGUUUCACAAGGCAGGCAAGUCCAUCUUUGGAUUGAAGAAUCAAAGCUACUCCAUUUUGUAAGGUUCUGGGAAAAGAGCCUUUGGAAAUCCCCUGACUUCACCCCAUCACCUGAGAACCAAUCAGAACUCAACACCUAACCCUUCACCAGAAGGUGACCAAUCAGACCCGGAGACUCCCGUUUUUUGAAAUUUUCGUGCGAUAAUACCCUAUAUAAGCAACGUAACCCCUAUAGCUGCUGCGUCGGUAUCGGUGGGAGCCCCGGCUCGAGCUUGGUAAUAAAAACUCUCUUGCUUUUGCAUCGGAUAUCGGCUCCCUGGUGGUCAUUGGGAGAUUUCGCGACUUGGGCAUAACAUUUGGGGGCUCGUCCGGGAUCUCCCACUGGCUCCACGGGAAGACCAAUCCGGAGAGUCAUCUGCAGCCGCGCAGAAUGGCCGACCUUCCAUGUAGGCUGGCCCUCAGAAGGCACCUCUGACUUGGGAACUUUACACCGAGUCCGAAAUAUCAUCUUCUGACCACGGAUCAGACACCCUGACCAAGUUCCCUUUGUCAGCACAAGUGUCUCCUCGGACAAUUCAUUUCCGAGUGUUAGAGAAGAGCCCAGUUUUGGGCCCUGGAAGGGGUCCCUCUUCCUGCAACAAAUGGUGACUCUGGCAGGGACUCUUCUUCGCCGAGACUGACAUCCUGACCACUCGGGGUACUCAGGGGCCAGCUUACCUGCCAAUGGACCAGACCCAGCGGCCCAACUGGGACCCUUUUGUCCCUGGUCUCCUCCUGACGCGGACAACUGGCCAGAGUGCCCCGACUGGUCCCAUGAUUGAUACAGAGGACUGUCAUAUGAACCAGAGAGGGUAAUUGAAACCAAAGAAAGGACUCCAGUGUGUAGCCAAAGGCAUGCCACCAGGGGUGAGAAGGAGCAGAUGUCUUCACAAACAGGGCAUGAGACCAACUGUGUGUGGUCAGCCUCUGAUUUGGGCCCAAAAGGAAAAGAAAUUCAGAGGAGACAGUGACUCUCAGACUCUUGUUAAUGAGCAAGAGUUCCCUGGAUCCAAGAGCAGAAAGCUCUGGCUUAUGCACUCGAAAAGCUAAAGCUGACCCAGAAGUUAUGUUUAGAGAAGAAAAUGAAGAAAGAG